GUUCGUGCUUAUGUUAGGAUCACGCUGUUUCUCCUGCACCAUGCCUGCAGCGUUAGGGGCAGCACAGAAGAGACCUGUUCCAUCACGGCUCUGGCAAGUGUUACGGGGUUGGCGAUGUUUCUCACAGAGGACACAGCGCCAGAGGCCAGGGUGCUUCCGUCCAUUAUCAUGGCGUCCAGCUCCACUUCUCCAGCUGUAUUCUGCACGGCUCCGUGACCUAAUAAAGACAUUGCAUUCAGCUGUGCCAACUCUAUCAAAGGAAGACAUCUCUUUCACAAACAAAAAGAUAACACGACACCAGAACACCAGACCUCUUUCCUUACUCAAGCAGAGGGUCAUUGACCCAGGUCUUGAACUGUUUCUCACAGACUUCACUUUGUGUAACAAAACAAGUAAUACAGAAAUGUCUUCAUGAACUUCUGCAAUGUAAAAUAUAUACCUGAGCACCUCCUCCUUUUGAUGCACUGUUUUUCAGACAGUCCAAGAAAGCACUGAUAAACCCCAAGACCUUGAAUAUUUCUCAGCUGACUAUACCGUGUGUGUGAGUGUUUUAGAAUGAGAGUGCAGGUUCAAGGCCAAGUCCAUCAUUUGAGCAUAGUAAGGGAAGUGAAUAUCAAACAUAGACUCCUCCGCUAGUAUCACAGAACUCGCAAGCUCAUUAAACAUUAACUUCAAAGAGCUUGGAGUGUUAAAAUUGUGAAUAUGAUCAUUUCCAGCAUUUUUUUUAUCCAGAGCGCAACAUUAAACCAACACAUUUUUAAAACCAUACCGAUAUGCACAUUCAGACUGUGGCUCCAAAUUCAUUGAAACUCCACUCUUCUCACUUCCUCUUUCCCUAAAUGGAAUUGCAUUAGUCGUGUAUUGAUCAGUCUCAGCCCGUAGCUAUAGCAGUGUAUUAAAAUUACCCCUCCGACGAAGUGCUGAUUCCGCCCCUGCACUUUGAAGAGGAUAUGCUGUUUCAACUAUUGUGGCAGUUGGCCAUUACAAAUGAGAUGGAGCUUGACAGCUGACUCCGGCUAAUGAAGUGUGUUGUUUUGCCCUUGCUGCUUUGAUGUAAUCUGAUAAUUACCUGGAGACCUCUCACCUCUCUUUAGGCCGAUCGUUAAAGCAAAGUGUCAUGGGUGUGAAAUGAAAUACAGUCCUAUCCCAUCUAAAAAAAAACACUGUCAAGGAAAAUCUCCCAGUUUUAAAAUGUACUGGUAUUUGUACACUAGAUAGAUUUUGUUUUAAGCAAAAAAAAGUAUGAUCAAACACAAAACUUCUGUGCAAACAUACAAAUAUUGUAUUGUCACUGCCAUUAAACAGCAUUAUUUGACUGUAUGUUUCUAUCAACAUUUUCAUACAACAGCUCGUCCAACAUUUUGAUAGAGCCACAGAGCUAGAGAGAUGAUACUUGCUAUACAAGCGAUGCAAUGGUUUAUUACUUUGCCCAUCUUCAGUCAAUCUAUGUACUGCUUGAUUGACCUUGUCUUUGAUGAUGGACGCAAAGAAAUGGCAUGGAACAUUGACUCAAAUCACUGUAUUCUGAGAAAUACCACCUUGUUUUCUGCACUGUUGUUUUUAAACCCAUUCAAGGUCAUGCUGUUCUGAUGAAUAUCAGCACAGUUUUGAUUAUGUUGCACAGUUAAUUAUUUACCACAAACUAGCCCAUAAAAUGAAAUGAGGCUAGGGUCUCUGCAUUAUGCAUUGGGACACUGAUAACACAAGUCUUAUCCCUGUCCAAGUCCAUAUACUUUAUUGUGCAGCUGUAGAAAUACCAGUGAUAUGGAAAAUUAAGGGUUCAUUAUUCAUCACAGGUGUGCAUUAGAAACAACCAAACAGCACUUACUGAGCCUUUACCAUGUUCACUGGGACAAUGUUGUCAUUACUAUGCAGUUGUGGGUGCACACAGGGA